rnacentral:tRNA from 1 species
UAGCGAAGGCGGAGAGUGUGCUACCUGGGAAGUAUAGUCGCAAGACCGAAACUUAAAGGAAUAGGCGGGGGAGUACUACAACGAGUGACGCGUGCGGUUAGACAUAAUUAGCCGCACUAAAAUUGAGCUAAAUGCUGGAAGGUCUCGUUAAGUCUUUGGUAGGAAUUUAUUUCAGCGAUGAAAUAAUUAAUCACUAAAAAUCCAGAGAAUAGAGAUAAUCAGCAGGAAAGACGAGAAUUUGUUGUUAUUUAAUAAAAGUAAUAAAUAAAAAGAUUUAUAAAUAAAUCCUAUAACUUUGUUAUAUGGAUGUACAAGUAAGUGCACAAGGUUCUAAAAGUGAAGAGCAAUAUAAAAGAUUAAUGUCUCAUGCAGAUGAAUUGGAAAGAAUUACAGAUAAAAGAUCUUCCUUCAAGGGAGACAGAUUGCCUUUAUAUAUAGAAGUAGCGAAAGUUAGAAUUUACGCAUUGCGUAAUUUUAGAAAAUAAUUCUCGAAUCCUCAGAGACUACACGCUCAAAUUAAAAUAUUUAAAGGAAGUUAAGAAACCUUUGGUUUUUUGAUAAGAUAUAGUCCGAUCUUCAUAGAGAUAUGAAGAAGUUGUUAGAAAUAACAACUCGCUUUUAAACAGAAAAAUAUAAAUACUUUAAGAAACUAGAAAUAUUGUUAGAUUGACUGGCUGGGAUUCAAACCCGGAUUUUAAACGUGAAAGGUUCAAGUCUUAAUCAUUAGACGACCAGCCCAUCUGAUAUUUUUUAUUAUUCUGAAUUUUAUAUAUUUGUCUUGUAUUUUAAAAGUUGUAACACACAAUGUCAAUUAGAUUCUACACCGUGAACCUCACCAGGAUCGACAGCAGAAUGAAGGUCAGUCUGAAGGGCUUACCUGACACGCUGAGAGGAGAUGCAUGACGUCAGCCUGUGUCGUGAGAUGACCAGUUAAAUCUGGUAACAGGCGAGACCCGUAUGUAUAUUUGCAAACGCACACUAUACAGACUGCCUGGGUAACCAGGAGGAAGGUGCGGGCUACGUUAGGUGAGUACGUCCCAAAUACCCUGGGCUACACGCGCGCGGCAAUGCUGCAAUCAAAGGGCUGCGACUCCGAAAGGAGAAGCCAAUCUCAUAAACUGCAGCUUAGUUCAGAUCGAGGGUUGCAACUCACCCUCGUGACGCUGGAAUUCGUAGUAAUCGGAUUUUAUCAGAUUCCGGUGAAUAAGUCCCUGCUCCUUGCACUCACCGCCCGUCAAACCAACCGAGUUUUGCAUUGGCGAGGCUCGUCAGAGACGAACCUUUGUAAGACAAGGUAGGUUAAGUCGUCACAAGGUAUCCGUAGGGGAACCUGCGGAUGGAUCACCUCCU